GUUUUUGAUUAAUUGGAAGAAAAUAUAUUUCACUGGAUAACAACUUAUAACCACUAUUUAAUUUCAUUGUUUUUUUUACGAGUCCACUUUAGCAAUAAUCAAAUUUUAAUCUCUUACUAAAGAGAAAAUCUGCAUUUCAUAAUACACUUCUAUUCAAAUAACAAAAAUUUACUUCUAAUAACUCUAUAAAAUAGAUGUUAUUUUUAUGCGGCAUAAAUUUUAGAGAUGCAUAUCUUCAUGGACUUGAUUUAUGACCCCAUUUGAAAGUUUUGCAUUGUAAUCCGAUUACAAUGCUUUGUGAGAUCUAUAAUGAUAGUGAAAGGCAUAGACCAAAAGAAAAGGGAAAGAGGCUAAAAUAGUUCUUUUCUAUUUUUUGAAAAAAUGGUAAAAUGGUUAUUUUUAUUUUUUUAUUAAAAAU
rnacentral:misc_RNA from 1 species